rnacentral:rRNA from 1 species
AGCGAACGCUGGCGGCAGGCUUAACACAUGCAAGUCGAACGGACACUUCGGUGUCAGUGGCGGACGGGUGAGUAACACGUGGGAACGUGCCCUUAGGUUCGGAACAACACAGGGAAACUUGUGCUAAUACCGGAUGUGCCCUUACGGGGAAAGAUUUAUCGUCUUUGGAGCGGCCCGCGUCUGAUUAGCUAGUUGGUGGGGUAAAGGCUCACCAAGGCUACGAUCAGUAGCUGGUCUGAGAGGAUGGCCAGCCACACUGGGACUGAGACACGGCCCAGACUCCUACGGGAGGCAGCAGUGGGGAAUCUUGCGCAAUGGGCGAAAGCCUGACGCAGCCAUGCCGCGUGGAUGAUGAAGGU